CGAAAUUCCUUGUCGGGCAAGUUCCGACCUGCACGAAUGGCAUAAUGAUGGCCACACUGUCUCCUCCUGAGACUCAGUGAAGUUGAAAUGUUUGUGAUGAUGCAAUCUCCCCGCGGCUAGACGGAAAGACCCCAUGAACCUUUACUGCAGCUUUGCAUUGGACUUUGAACCGAUCUGUGUAGGAUAGGUGGGAGGCAGUGAAGCUAGGACGCCAGUCUUAGCGGAGCCAACCUUGAAAUACCACCCUGAUUUGUUUGAGGUUCUAACCUAGGAGCGUAAUCCGCUUCGGGGACCGUGCAUGGUAGGCAGUUUGACUGGGGCGGUCUCCUCCUAAAGGGUAACGGAGGAGUGCGAAGGUACGCUAGGUACGGUCGGAAAUCGUGCUGAUAGUGCAAUGGCAAAAGCGUGCUUGACUGCGAGACCGACAAGUCGAGCAGAUACGAAAGUAGGUCAUAGUGAUCCGGUGGCUCUGCAUGGAAGGGCCAUCGCUCAACGGAUAAAAGGUACUCCGGGGAUAACAGGCUGAUUCCGCCCAAGAGUUCAUAUCGACGGCGGUGUUUGGCACCUCGAUGUCGGCUCAUCUCAUCCUGGGGCUGUAGCCGGUCCCAAGGGUAUGGCUGUUCGCCAUUUAAAGAGGUACGUGAGCUGGGUUUAAAACGUCGUGAGACAGUUUUGUCCCUAUCUGCCGUGGGCGUUGGAAGAUUGACGGGGGCUGCUCCUAGUACGAGAGGACCGGAGUGGACUCACCUCUGGUGUACCGGUUGUCACGCCAGUGGCAUCGCCGGGUAGCUAUGUGGGGAAAGGAUAACCGCUGAAAGCAUCUAAGCGGGAAACCUGCCUGAAGAUAAGUCUUCCUGGAGGCUUUGACCUCCCUGAAGAGUCGUUCGAGACCAGGACGUUGAUAGGUUGGAUGUGCAAGCGCUGUGAGGCGUUGAGCUGACCAAUACUAAUUGCUCGUGAAGCUUGAUCCU
rnacentral:rRNA from 1 species